rnacentral:rRNA from 1 species
UGGGGAAUAUUGGACAAUGGGCGCAAGCCUGAUCCAGCCAUGCCGCGUGAGUGAUGAAGGCCCUAGGGUUGUAAAGCUCUUUCACCGGUGAAGAUAAUGACGGUAACCGGAGAAGAAGCCCCGGCUAACUUCGUGCCAGCAGCCGCGGUAAUACGAAGGGGGCUAGCGUUGUUCGGAUUUACUGGGCGUAAAGCGCACGUAGGCGGACUUUUAAGUCAGGGGUGAAAUCCCGGGGCUCAACCCCGGAACUGCCUUUGAUACUGGAAGUCUUGAGUAUGGUGGAGGUGAGUGGAAUUCCGAGUGUAGAGGUGAAAUUCGUAGAUAUUCGGAGGAACACCAGUGGCGAAGGCGGCUCACUGGACCAUUACUGACGCUGAGGUGCGAAAGCGGGGGGAGCAAACAGG